rnacentral:lncRNA from 1 species
GAUAAUUCAAUAAAAUACUUAUAAAAAUAUAAUAUUAAUCAUGACUGACAUGUCAUAUAUAAAUCUAACUCGUCUGUGAUAACAUCAUAACAAAUCAAAAUAUUCUAUUGCAGAGUAUAAAAUAACAAAAAAUAUGAAAGUAUAGAUUAUUUACAAUAAGCUCGAUGAAGAAAGAAGUCGGGUUGUCAAAAUACAGGAUGGCAAAGAACUCUAACUGUCACCUGAAAAAUAAAAUUGAAACUGUCAGUCUCGAGAGUGAGUUAAAAUCAAAUAAUCCUGUAACUAUUGCAGUCUCCUCAAUAAAAUAAUAUUUAUUAACUCAAUAUAUUAUGCCAUUGUAUAUCAAUUACGAGUCACACCAUAAUUUAGAAAUAAUAUACAUUUUAAUACUUAUGGGACGAGUGACUCAACAAAACCCUAACACAAAUCGCAGUCUUUCGACUCUCUUAUUCCAAUAGGUCUGACGCCUAGAGAGCGAAGUUCAACUAGGGUCCUUACAUCCAGCCUGGACACUUCAUUCCCAACUAAGCCAAGGCCUAGAGAGCAUUGCUUGACCAGGAUCCUUUCUCUGACAGUCAAACUUUCAUAGCCCAGAGAGUUAUACUCGACCAGAGCAAAUCCAAACAUAACAUUAUUAACUGUCCUUGAUUAUUACCAGUGUGCACGCGGUCCUGAUGCAGCUCAUCAGGUGGCAUGUUCUACUAUAGCCUCAUUGUCACAAUCGUAACAUAAAUAUAAUAAUCAUAAACUAACAUCAUUAUUCAAUAACAUACUGAAAUUAAGGAUUCAAAAUCUCGGGUAAAUUAAGCAUGCAAUUUAUAUAUAGAAUUAAUAAUAAUAGUAUUGAAAGAACAUUAAUUAUGAUUUCGAAAAUAAUGAGAUAAUUUUACAGAUAAUAACGUUAAUAUUAUUUAUGGUAAUUGUUAAUUAAAUGAAAUUAUUUGUAAUACGAUACUGAUAAUCAUAUUACACAUAAAUCACUAAAACAUUGCAUCAAAUUCAAACAAUGCCAAUAGUGCAGCGAUUAUAUGACUUUAAUUCACAGUUCUGUCGUACCCCUCAGUUCACUACUACACCUCGGGGGGAGCUGGCGGGAAGGAUGGGUUAUCUAUUCACGAAAAUAUUCAGUUAAUAGACAUUCUUAAAUUUUUUCUAGGCAUAGACUCCUAGAUUAAACUGCCUAAAAUUAUUUUAGACUCGAGAAUUCUGUCAAAAAUUCGACAGAACCUCCCAUAAAUUAUAAACAUUUACCCCCCUAUAAAACGGGUCCAGAACCUACCAAAUAUACUUUAAAUCUACUGUGAUUAAUUAACGGUAGUCGGGCAACUAAAACUAAAUUAAUUUUUCUAAUUCUGCAACACAUUGCAAUCACAAAUAAUUUUUAAAUUAUCCAUCACUGAUAAUAAAUAGCCACAAUAUUAUUUUAAAAUUAUGACAUAAUUUUUAAGGUCUAAAUAAAAUUAUACCGAAUCAAAAUUGCAAUGUUUCACGCGUCCGAAAAGCACCGGGUCCGGAAGCCAGUCUUGCCAACAGUGUCGGAAUUCGAAUCCUGAAGCGUCUACGCGAAGCUUGAGUUGCAGGGAGUCCGAAGAUAUAAGAGCUUCGGCCGGAAAAUGGCCGGAAGGCACCAUAUCGGGGCCGGAAAAGUGAUUCUCCGGUGAAGCUUCUCGAGGCUGCCGGCGACGGAUUUCACUGCAAGGAGGGUCGUUUUCGGGGUUUUCAAGGGUGGGGAGUCCGAAUCCGGUGUCGGAUUUCAGAAAGGAUGUUGGUAGGAGGCCGAACCGACGAUGGCAGCCUCUUUGUCCCUUGUCAGCGUCAGUGGAAGGGAGAGAGGAGGAGAAGGGGCUGCUGGACGGCAGCGGUGAGCUGGGCGGUAUGCAAGCAGUAAGGGGGAGGAGGUGGUCGAUGGGGAGAGGGAGAAGGAAGAGAGAGAGCCGACGUAAGGGAGGGAAGGAGAAGGAAGGGAGGUAGGAAAAGAGGAGAGAGGAGGGGAGAGGAAAGAAAAAUGGGAAGGCGAAUUUUUUAUUGUUAUUAUUAUUAUUAU